UGAAAUACACGAUGUUCUAUAAGGUGGUAAAAAUCCUGGAAGAGACAAGGUUGUUGGUGUUCGUAUGGAGUAAGCGGCGAUCAUGUUGUGUAGAAGUUGGAGGGGUGCAAUGGAUGAGGGUGAGCGUAUUGUAAGUUGAGGUUAUGAAGGAUCAAGUUUUUUAUUGUUUGAGAAGUUGUUUAUGGAAGUUUGGAGAUCCAAGGAAGGUUGUGGUGGGAUUGAUGUGCGGUUAUAGUGUGUUGGUUAGUUUAUGUUAUGAAGGGAAAGAGAUGGUUGUUUGCGAUGAAUUCCAUGGUAUAAUGGUGUUAAGAAGUAUGUUUAAUAAAGGGUGGACAAUUUUUAUUCACAUGAUGAUGAUUUGUGAUUUUCCAGAGUCAGGACGGUGAGUCACAGAUGAAGAAAAGGCAUAGUGUUUGCAAGGUUGAUGACGGUAUAUGUUAAUGAAGAAGGUGAGGUGCAUGGAAAUGUUGGUUUGUAUGGUUAGAAGUGUGAGAGACCAUGAACAAUAUAUGUGUCAAGAAAAUUCGCUGAAUACCAUUGAAUGCGCCGCCUGUGUUUCGAUCGGUCUAUGUUUUUGUAUGGU
rnacentral:lncRNA from 1 species